GACGAACGCUGGCGGCGUGCUUAACACAUGCAAGUGGAGCGACGAACCAGGCUUCGGCCUGGGGCAGAGCCGCGAACGGGUGAGUAACACGUGGGUAACCCACCCCGAUGACCGGGACAACCCGAGGAAACUCGGGCUAAUACCGGAUGUACUCUCGAACCACGAGGCUCGAGAGGAAAGAUAGCUUCGGCCUUCGCAUCGGGACGGGCCCGCGGCCCAUUAGCUUGUUGGUGGGGUAACGGCCUACCAAGGCGACGAUGGGUAGCUGGUCUGAGAG
rnacentral:rRNA from 1 species